rnacentral:lncRNA from 1 species
UGCGACGCUUGAAGCUUGUUUUAAUGAGUGGUUCAAACCAGAAUUUUUACACAAUGUGGAUUGCCAGGUUUGCUCAGAGAAAAAUAAAAAAAACACAAAGACUAUAUUUUCAAAACAAAUCUCGUUUGCUAAGCUUCCAGAAUGUCUAUGCAUACAGCUUCAACGUAGUUCUUACAAUUCAAGUGGAUAUUUACAAAAGUGCGACAUGUUUAUCAAUUUUCCAGAGGUGUUAGAUUUGUUUCAAUACACAUACAUUGCAUCAAAAACUAGUAAAAACGCAACGAACACAAUUUGCUUACCGCCAGCAUCACGAAAUCAAUCAACAAUUUACAAGUUAUCAUCUUUGGUGACGCAUUAUGGUAAUACCAAUCAAGGUCAUUUUGCAACAUUCAGACGUCUUUCUGACAAGCGUUGGGUAUAUAUUUCAGAUCAAAGUGUUAUUGUGAAAUCAGUUUCUGACGUUUUUAGUUCUGAUGCUUAUAUGUUGUUUUACGAAAAAAUUUCUAAAUGAUUUUAAUUUCUAUUAUACUUUAUUAUUAUUGCCAACAAAUGAAAAUGGAAAUUGCAAACCAAAUGCAAGCAAAAAGAUUUAUACAUUUUUUUAUAUUUUAAAUUAUCUGGUUAGAUGAA